rnacentral:rRNA from 1 species
UACAGAGGGUGCAAGCGUUGUCCGGAUUUAUUGGGCGUAAAGCGUCUGUAGGCGGUCUACCAAGUCCGAAGUGAAAGAAUGGGGCUUAACUCCAUCCACGCUUUGGAAACUGGUAAACUAGAGACUGUUAGAGGUAAGUGGAAUUUCCAGUGUAGCGGUGAAAUGCGUAGAUAUUGGAAGGAACACCAGAGGCGAAGGCGGCUUACUGGGGCAGUUCUGACGCUGAGAGACGAAAGCUAGGGGAGCGAAAGGG